rnacentral:rRNA from 1 species
GAUGAUCGCUGGCGGCGUGCCUAACACAUGCAAGUCGAGCGAACAGACGAGGAGCUUGCUCCUCUGACGUUAGCGGCGGACGGGUGAGUAACACGUGGAUAACCUACCUAUAAGACUGGGAUAACUUCGGGAAACCGGAGCUAAUACCGGAUAAUAUAUUGAACCGCAUGGUUCAAUAGUGAAAGACGGUUUUGCUGUCACUUAUAGAUGGAUCCGCGCCGCAUUAGCUAGUUGGUAAGGUAACGGCUUACCAAGGCAACGAUGCGUAGCCGACCUGAGAGGGUGAUCGGCCACACUGGAACUGAGACACGGUCCAGACUCCUACGGGAGGCAGCAGUAGGGAAUCUUCCGCAAAGGGCGAAAGCCUGACGGAGCAACGCCGCGUGAGUGAUGAAGGUCUUCGGAUCGUAAAACUCUGUUAUUAGGGAAGAACAAAUGUGUAAGUAACUAUGCACGUCUUGACGGUACCUAAUCAGAAAGCCACGGCUAACUACGUG